rfam:Equus caballus chromosome 5, whole genome shotgun sequence.
CCAAAGGCUCUUUUCAGAGCCACCCACAACAGCACUCGGAGGGAG